CAGUCACAAGGACACAUCCAACUGCAGAGGAUCCUGGGAAAUAGUAUACAUAUGUGUGAUUUUUUUCUACAAGUUUGGUGACAAGAGACAUACUGUUCAGAGACAAUGCCACUAUCAUGGAGACAAAGUGACUUUCAAGACCAUAAGAUUCUUGCUUCCAAACUAGAGUUUAAAAAUAUAUUUAAUAAAGAAAUUUUAAAACAAAAACACCUGUGAAAUGAAGCCCUGCAUAUAAGAGAUAACUCAGAACCUCGUAUGUUUGGAAAAAUAUGAGUGAUUUGUAAAAAUGUAGAAGUUAAAGAACUGUAAUCAACUGGUAAGUGAUUAACAGUGUUGUCUAGUAAUGAACGUAAUUUCAGAAUAAUUUUUGCUA
rnacentral:lncRNA from 1 species